GACGAACGCUGGCGGCGUGCUUAACACAUGCAAGUCGAACGGUGAAGCGCCUUCCUUUUUGGUGGGUGUGGAUGAGUGGCGAACGGGUGAGUAACACGUGAGUAACCUGCCCCCUUCUUCUGGAUAACCGCAUGAAAGUGUGGCUAAUACGGGAUAUUCUGGGUCUGUCGCAUGAUGGGUGUGGGAAAGAUUUUGUUUCGGUUGGAGAUGGGCCCGCGGCGUAUCAGCUUGUUGGUGAGGUGAUGGCCUACCAAGGCGGUGACGGGUAGCCGGCCUGAGAGGGUGGUCGGCCGGUCUAGAAGGGAGAGAGGGACCAGCCACCGUCGGGAGGCAGCAGGCGGGAAGGAUCCGCAAUGAGGGGGAGCAUGCCGGAGGCACGCCGCGCGAGUGAGGAAGGGCUUCCGUUCGUUAGACUCUCUUUUUAGGGAAGAAAAGAGGUGUAAGUAGCUGUGGGGAGGUUGAAGGUAACUUGUAAGAAAGCCCCGGCUAACUACGUG
rnacentral:rRNA from 1 species